rnacentral:rRNA from 1 species
AUUUAUUGGGGCGGUAAAAGCCGAGGCGGCCAGGGCCGGUUUCUUAAGUCUGAUGUGAAAGCCCCCCGGCUCCACCCGGGGGAGGGUCAUUGGAAACCUGGGAGACUUGAGUGCAGAAGAGGAGAGUGGAAUUUCCAUGUGUAGCGGUGAAAUGCGUAGAUAUAUGGAGGAACACCAGUGGCGAAAGGCGGCUCUCUGGGUCUGUAACUGACGCUGAGGCUCGAAAGCGUGGGGAGCAAACCAGGAUUAGAUACCCUGGUAGUCCACGCCGUAAACGAUGAGUGCUAAGUGUUGGAGGGUUUCCGCCCUUCAGUGCUGCAGCAAACGCAUUAAGCACUCCGCCUGGGGAGUACGACCGCAAGGUUGAAACUCAAAGGAAUUGACGGGGGCCCCGCACAAGCGGUGGAGCAUGUGGUUUAAUUCGAAGCAACGCGAAGAACCUUACCAGGUCUUGACAUCCUUUGACCACUCUAGAGAUAGAGCUUUCCCUUCGGGGACAAAGUGACAGGUGGUGCAUGGUUGUCGUCAGCUCGUGUCGUGAGAUGUUGGGUUAAGUCCCGCAACGAGCGCAACCCUUAUUGUUAGUUGCCAUCAUUUAGUUGGGCACUCUAGCGAGACUGCCGGUGACAAACCGGAGGAAGGUGGGGAUGACGUCAAAUCAUCAUGCCCCUUAUGACCUGGGCUACACACGUGCUACAAUGGGAAGUACAACGAGUCGCUAGACCGCGAGGUCAUGCAAAUCUCUUAAAGCUUCUCUCAGUUCGGAUUGCAGGCUGCAACUCGCCUGCAUGAAGCCGGAAUCGCUAGUAAUCGCGGAUCAGCACGCCGCGGUGAAUACGUUCCCGGGCCUUGUACACACCGCCCGUCACACCACGAGAGUUUGUAUCAAUCCGAAGUCGGAGAGU